UACGUAGGGGGCUAGCGUUGUCCGGAUUUAUUGGGCGUAAAGCGCGUGUAGGCGGUCCGGUAAGUCCGCUGUGAAAGUCGGGGGCUCAACCCUCGGAUGCCGGUGGAUACUGUCGAGCUUGAGUACGGAAGAGGCAAGUGGAAUUCCUGGUGUAGCGGUGAAAUGCGCAGAUAUCAGGAGGAACACCAAUUGCGAAGGCAGCUCGCUGGGACGUUACUGACGCUGAGACGCGAAAGCGUGGGGAGCAAACAGG
rnacentral:rRNA from 1 species